GGGUUGUGAGGUUAAGUGACUAAGCGUACACGGUGGAUGCCUAGGCAGUCAGAGGCGAUGAAGGGCGUGCUAAUCUGCGAAAAGCGUCGGUAAGGUGAUAUGAACCGUUAUAACCGGCGAUACCCGAAUGGGGAAACCCAGUGUGUUUCGACACAUUAUCAUGUCAUGAAUACAUAGUGGCAUGAGGCGAACCGGGGGAACUGAAACAUCUAAGUACCCCGAGGAAAAGAAAUCAACC
rnacentral:rRNA from 1 species